rnacentral:rRNA from 1 species
GCUUAACACAUGCAAGUCGAACGGUGAACCCUCUUCGGAGGGGGAUCAGUGGCGAACGGGUGAGUAACACGUGAGCAACCUGCCCCUAACUCUGGGAUAACUCCGGGAAACCGGAGCUAAUACCGGAUACGAGACACUCGGGCAUCCGAUGUGUCUGGAAAGAUUUAUCGGUUAGGGAUGGGCUCGCGGCCUAUCAGCUUGUUGGCGGGGUAACGGCCCACCAAGGCGACGACGGGUAGCCGGCCUGAGAGGGCGACCGGCCACACUGGGACUGAGACACGGCCCAGACUCCUACGGGAGGCAGCAGUGGGGAAUAUUGCGCAAUGGGCGAAAGCCUGACGCAGCGACGCCGCGUGAGGGACGAAGGCCUUCGGGUUGUAAACCUCUUUCAGCAGGGAAGAAGCGAAAGUGACGGUACCUGCAGAAGAAGCACCGGCUAACUACGUGCCAGCAGCCGCGGUAAUACGUAGGGUGCAAGCGUUGUCCGGAAUUAUUGGGCGUAAAGAGCUCGUAGGCGGUUUGUCGCGUCUGCUGUGAAAACUCGGGGCUUAACCCCGGGCCUGCAGUGGGUACGGGCAGACUAGAGUGCGGUAGGGGAGACUGGAAUUCCUGGUGUAGCGGUGAAAUGCGCAGAUAUCAGGAGGAACACCGGUGGCGAAGGCGGGUCUCUGGGCCGUAACUGACGCUGAGGAGCGAAAGCAUGGGGAGCGAACAGGAUUAGAUACCCUGGUAGUUCAUGCCGUAAACGUUGGGCGCUAGGUGUGGGGCUCUUUCCACGAGUUCCGUGCCGCAGCAAACGCAUUAAGCGCCCCGCCUGGGGAGUACGGCCGCAAGGCUAAAACUCAAAGGAAUUGACGGGGGCCCGCACAAGCGGCGGAGCAUGCGGAUUAAUUCGAUGCAACGCGAAGAACCUUACCAAGGCUUGACAUGAACGGUAAUCCGGCAGAGAUGUCGGGUCCGUAAGGGCCGUUCACAGGUGGUGCAUGGUUGUCGUCAGCUCGUGUCGUGAGAUGUUGGGUUAAGUCCCGCAACGAGCGCAACCCUCGUUCUAUGUUGCCAGCACGUAAUGGUGGGGACUCAUAGGAGACUGCCGGGGACAACUCGGAGGAAGGUGGGGAUGACGUCAGAUCAUCAUGCCCCUUAUGUCUUGGGCUUCACGCAUGCUACAAUGGCCAGUACAAAGGGCUGCGAGACCGUAAGGU